GAAGACAUGAAGUYAGGUCAGCAAACCCGCUGAAUUUAAGCAUAUAAGUAAGCGGAGGAAAAGAAACUAAAUAGGAUUCCCUCAGUAAUGGCGAAUGAACAGGGAUGAGCUCAGUAUGGGAAUUGGGGCCUGUGGCCUUGAAUUGUAGUCUGGAGAUGUACCACCAACUGGGGCGCAGAUGUAAGCCUCUUGGAAAAGAGCAUCAAUGAGGGUGAGAGUCCCGCUUGGCAUCUGCAGUCCCCAGUGCACGGUGUACCUUCUAAGAGUCACGUUCCUCGGGAUUGGAGCGCAAAGUGGGUGGUAAGUUUCAUCUAAAGCUAAAUAUUGUUUCGAGACCGAUAGCAAACAAGUACCAUGAGGGAAAGGUGAAAAGGACUUUGAAAAGAGAGUUAAAAGUGCCUGAAAUUGCUGAAAGGGAAGCGAAUGGAACCAGCGUAACUUGGUGAGAUUGCUACGUGUCAAUGUGAUUGCUUGCUGCUUCAACGUAAGUGCGGCAGUAAGUCUUGAACAGGACAUGUGUGGUGCUUCUUGCCUUGUGUGUCACCGUCAGUUCACAGCUGGGGAAAACUUCAGGGGCAUGGUAACCUGUCUCCGGGUGGGUGAAUGCGUCUGUUGGAACUCAUUUGUGGAUUGCUUGGUGACUAAAUGGUUCCAUCUGACCCGUCUUGAAACAC
rnacentral:rRNA from 1 species